GGUGAGAUGGCCGAGUAGGCUGAAGGCGCACCCCUGCUAAGGGUGUAUAUGGGAAACUGUAUCGAGGGUUCGAAUCCCUCUCUCACCGCCA
rnacentral:tRNA from 1 species